rnacentral:misc_RNA from 1 species
AAAGUCGUAACAAGGUAACCGUAGGUGAACCUGCGGUUGGAUCAUUAAAAAUUUUAACAGCCUCUCAUUGCUCCAUACUGGCAAUGAAUGUUGGCACCACAUUUUGUGCACUGUAAUGUCUUUGGUGGUUGGGCGGCUUGUUUUUUUUGUGACAAUUCCGUUCGUCAGCUUGGAUUUUUCAUAGUCCUCGCCGUGGACACGCCACCGUUUGUUUUUCAAACCCAUGCUUGAUGAAUUGUCUGACACACUAUUUGUAUUACAAAUGUACAAACAACUUUUGGCAACGGAUCUCUUGGUUCUC